rnacentral:rRNA from 1 species
GAUGAACGCUGGCGGCGUGCUUAACACAUGCAAGUCGAACGGAAAGGCUCCUGCUUGCAGGGGUGCUCGAGUGGCGAACGGGUGAGUAACACGUGGGUGAUCUGCCCUGCACUUCGGGAUAAGCCUGGGAAACUGGGUCUAAUACCGGAUAGGACCUCCUUCUGCAUGGUGUGGUUGGGAGUUUUUCGGUGGGGGAUGAACUCGCGGCCUAUCAGCUUGUUGGUGGGGUAAUGGCCUACCAAGGCGUCGACGGGUAGCCGGCCUGAGAGGGUGUACGGCCACAUUGGGACUGAGAUACGGCCCAGACUCCUACGGGAGGCAGCAGUGGGGAAUAUUGCACAAUGGGCGGAAGCCUGAUGCAGCGACGCCGCGUGGGGGAUGACGGCCUUCGGGUUGUAAACUCCUUUCGCUAGGGACGAAGCGCAAGUGACGGUACCUGGAGAAGAAGCACCGGCUAACUACGUG